GCCUGGGUGGCUCAGUCGGUUGGGCUUCUGACUUCAGCUCAGGUCGUGAUUUCGCAGUCCGUGAGUUCGAGCCCCGCGUCGGGCU
rnacentral:tRNA from 1 species